rnacentral:rRNA from 1 species
ACAGCAGCAGCCGCGGGAAAACAGAGGGUGCGAGCGUUAAUCGGAUUUACUGGGCGUAAAGCGUGCGUAGGCGGCUUCUUAAGUCGGAUGUGAAAUCCCUGAGCUUAACUUAGGAAUUGCAUUCGAUACUGGGAAGCUAGAGUAUGGGAGAGGAUGGUAGAAUUCCAGGUGUAGCGGUGAAAUGCGUAGAGAUCUGGAGGAAUACCGAUGGCGAAGGCAGCCAUCUGGCCUAAUACUGACGCUGAGGUACGAAAGCAUGGGGAGCAAACAGGAUUAGAUACCCGUGAGUCCCUGUCUCUUAUACA